rnacentral:tRNA from 1 species
GGGGGUAUAGCUCAGCUGGUAGAGCAGCGGACUCUUAAUCCGUAGGUCCAAGGUUCGAACCCUUGUGCCCCUACCA